rnacentral:lncRNA from 1 species
CCCAAACUCACACAGACGUUGGAACUACCAGUUGUGCGGGAAGGAGCUAUCCACUUUGGGUCUCCUCAACGUUGGGACAACCUGUCAAUGGAAAAGAGCUACCCACUUCAGGUCUCCUCAGAGCUGUUCUGUCACUCCAUGAAGCUCCUCUCCACCUUGUUAAUCCUCCAGUUGUCUGCAUACCUCAUUCUUCCUGGACGCAGAACAACAACUCGGGACCCACUGAAUGGAACUGAAACAACUGUCAGAGGCCCAACCCUGUGAACUAGAACCACAUCUAUUCAACCCAAGGGACUUAGUACUGGACAAGAACCUAGAACUUGCUGAACUGCGUGCAGCAGGAACAAAUGAGCUGUAACCCUCUCAUUUGCUGAACUGAGAGAAGUGGAAAUGAAUGAGCUGUGAUCCUCCCUUCUGCCUGGUGAGCUUCAGGUGGCAGGAAUCAACGAGCUGUUGCAUGCUCCUGCUCGACAGACUAUGGGAGAAAGACAGCUAUAACAUGCUCCCACUUGACGAGCUAUGAGAAUGAAGAGUUCCAACAUUUCUUGGGGGUGCAGACAUUGGAACUGCCUGAGCAAGAACUGUAACACCCCUUGGAGCUUGAGAUUGCUGGCAUCUUCAAGUUUGCAGGUGCCACCAUGUUCCUCUCAUUUAGACACUGGCACCCAACACGGAAGCCACUUGUGGCAUCCCCAGGCCAGCUGUGGGAUGAGCAUGGAGCCAUGGCAGGUGUAAGAUCUGAGCAGUUGCAAACCCAGCGCAGCCUUCUGUACCAAGUGGGUAGAGUGAGCCCCGCGGGCCUGAGCAAGGCCCAGACAGAGGAGAUGGCAGUUGCAAAGAUUUCCAGCUGGCAAAGCAGCAUCGAAGGAAUACUGUAACAAAUUGUACUUCAAACCACAGCAUCAUACAACAUACCCAUGUAACAAACCUGCACAUGUACCCCUUGAGUUCAAAAUAAAUUUGAAAUUUUAAAAAAAGAAAAGAAAUGUGGUCUUUCGGCUUCCAAGAAGAAUCACUUUAGAGUUAAUCUCCAGAUACAGCUCCCCUAUAUUCACAGUGACUGAUUCAUAAUGGAGCAAACCACAACAUCGAUUAAAACAGAUUUUGUGACUUGUAAUUAAAUAACAUUUAUGUCUUCAACAUUGGUUCUUCAUCCUCUCCAGGGCUCAGAAUUGGAGCCACAGGACAUUCUGUAUACCACAGAGGAAACCGAG